AGGUGGGUAAGGUUUGCUGGGAGAUGUCUGGGAUUUAUUCACAUGGAGGCAGUACCUCUAAACUGCAUGCUCUUUGGGAAGUGGGCUUUGAGAUGUGAGAGGACAAGUCCUGCUUUCCUGUUGCUGCUGUCACUUGAUGCCUUGGUUGGAGAGCACCUUGCAAGUAGGACCUGGAGAUGUCUGGCUCUGAAGCCUUUUUGCAGACCCUGUAUGAGAAGCUGAGGAUUUCAUUAAAUCUGCAAUUCUUUGCAUAUCUACGACUGUGCAGAAGCAAACAUGAGAUUUCCAGGGAUUCCCAGUUGUUGGAAGCAUUUACUUCCAGGAUGUUUUCUCAGACUUCUUCCCCUAGGAGGUGCUCUGAGAUAAUUUCCCAGUGUUGAUAAACUGAUUCUGCUUUAUACAUGCCUGAGAGCUGCACAAACAGCCUGUACCUCUCUAGGAAAGUUACCUGUCCCAGGAGGGAUUUGCCAGUGCUGAAGAUGGGUUAUCCAUCAUGAUCAAAAUGUGUUAUGGAGACAAGUGUGGAGUCCUGGGGACUUGCCUGAGAAGUUGGGUAAUUGGUUGCAUGUGAAGCUGCUUAAUCACUGUCAACUUGUGUGUUGAGUGGAUGAAAAGAGUCUUGUGGUGGUUUGGGGCUGUCUGGAGGGGAUGUGCAGUGCUGCAGAGCAGUUGGAGUGAUGCUGUUAUGUUCAGUGUGAAUUAUGCUGGUUAAGUCAUAGGAAUAUGGUGUAAAGACUGUAUACAUGUCCCAAAACACAUGCACAUGCUCAGGAUGGCACGGGACUGAGGGACAGAUAGGUAGACAUUUGUCAUUAGUGUUCAUCUGGGGGGAGUGUGAAUGAGCUAUGAAGACCUCACAUCAGGUGAGCACCUAAAACUAGGUGGAAGAAACUGGGCUUUGAUUUCUCAGCAUGGCAACUCUUGUCCUUUAGUUCUAUCUGUAAAUUGGGGUAAUUUUACCCUACCCUCACAGGAGCAUAUUAAAUUUAGUGUUUGGGGGGGCACUGAGACUGAACAGUGGUGAGCAGGAUAUGUGAAAGGAGGUGAAAGUAAGAGCGCUGUGCAGACAGCAAGGCUUAGGAGCCCAUGCUGAGCAAUGGAGUUUAAAAGAAAAUAGUGAGAAGCUGUUAAAUGAGUCCUGUCCUUCCUGUGUGCUGACUGAGGCUGGGAUCUUGUGGAGCAAUAGUCCAUGAACUGUAUUUUAAUGCUAGCUACACUGGAAGCUUCUGUGUUAUAAUGGUGGUUUUGGCUUUCAUUCAGUAUAGCUCAAGUGGGGAUGGGUAUAAAUACUGUUAUGAGGCACAUAAGGAGGAUGCUGGGCACAUGGGAGAUGCAAUUGAAGCUCUGUGCAUGCUCACCCCUCUGAGCAGCUUUCCUCUUUAGCUGGGUUGCUGUGAGUAUAUUUCGUGAGCGCAGGGAUAGUGACCAAGAGUAAUCUUUGUAAGAAAUGGCAAGCCUAGAAUGAUGGGUAUUAUCUUUGAAGAACUUGCGGAGCCUGAUGGCAAACUGCCAUUUUGCCAGUUGAUGGAAAUAAUUUCCCUGAAACUAUUUGCAACUACCUGGUAAUCAGCUUUCUCCAGCUCAUGUCAUGACAUCUGGAAAUGCCCAAAGCCUGGCUAUUAACAACUGGGUUUCAGCUCAGCAGGAGGACUUUGGGCUCUUGAUUUGCUGAUCAAAGAAGCAGGCAGAUGCUGCUGCUGUUGGGUCUUCUGGUGUGAAAUAGAGCAUGCUUACAUCUGAGGGCAGCAUUGCUGUGUGGGGCACUCCACCUCCCAGCAGCCUACUAUUCACCCUCCUGUGCAUGAAAAGUAGGCUGUGUACACUUGUGAAUCAAGCAUGGAUGGGUAGCUCCCCCCUUCCACUUGAGAUUGUUUAGGUUUGGGGUUGUCCAAGGGGCUUAGGGAAUGCAGCACUUGGCUCCCACAGUGGGCUGGUAUCAAACAUCCCUGCAGGCAGAUUGAAAGCUCCAGGGAAAGCUUUCCUGUCCAGAGCAUUAGCUUGAUUUUUUUUUUUUUUGCUUUUUAGAUGAGAGAAAGGAGUUCAGAAGUUUCAAUGUUUAAGGAAAACCUAUAGCAAAACCUGCCUGCCAAAUUUAAGCACUACUUUGCCCAGAAGCUACCUGUUCAGUGCGGGACCAUGUCCCCAGUAGAACCCCAGCCCCAGCUUGCACUGAUGUGAACCCUUCCCAUCUUCCCAUUCCAGAGUGUCCUGGUGCUUGGCUGACCCUGUGCUGCUGCCCCCAUAAACAUUCUUUUUAUCAAGUAGUGAGGCUUAAAACAAAAUCCAAGAUUCCCAUUUCCUUUCCUGAACACUUACUCUGGACAAAGCAUCCUACACAUUAAGAGGUAGGAUGAAAAUCACAAGACUUUGACACCAAAGAAUUCUUCUCAAGUUUGGCCCAAGCUUCAGGUUUUUGAGAAAUAAUUUUCAUUGGUUGUCCUAGGGGAGUGCUUCUAAACAAAUAUGUUUUACACUGUUUACAAUAAGAUGGAGUAGCCAGAAAAUCUGAAACCAGAGAAGAAAUUGGUCAGUGUCUUUGCCAAUGGAGAAGUUCAAGUAAAUAAAGAGCAUCUGUUAUGAAAACAUCUUUUGAGAGGUGUUGUCCAGUCCAGGCUCUCGAAGGCUAUUAGCACCAGUGUUGAGAACUCCUGGCUUAUCCUUAGUUUGUUUCAACUUGUUCACAUGCAUUGAAGUGAGAAAUGGACAGUUUCACAAAGCCUUUUAUUCAUUGCUAUACAUGUUUCAUAUUACAGCUUUCUGUACAGACAAUUACUUUGUCUUGAUGUUACUGCUUUUUGUUUGCUAAUAGUCAGAGUUUGCCAAAAAUUGAUGCCUUUCUGGGGCCUUUGCUGCAGACUGUUGUUUUCUUUGUAAUUACCACUGAUUCAGCACAGCUCUUCUAAUUUUUUGUAUAUCAGACCAGCUUUUGACUUUAGGGGUAUGCCCUUACAUUUACCUUGAAGUCUGCAGUUUACUGGAUUGUGGCCUAAUCUGGGAAUGAUCUUCAACACAGGUGGUUCUGAAUAAUUAAGAUAUCAUUUGUCAGUCACCAAAUGAAGUACUAGCCUGUUCAGGGUUACAUCUCAGCAGUGUUGAUGCCUGUAGCUUUCUGAGGCAUUCAGCUCCCCACAGGACCAGCUCUGAGCACAAGCACUUGCUUAUCAGGCAGCCUUCUCACUGGCAUGGAUGUGAACUUCUCUUGAGACUUGGAGCCUGUCCCAGAAAGAUUCAUAUGGACAAUGGGGAUGUGUUAAUCUGUGAACAAUUGGUCUGGUAAAACCAGAUUAGGCUCCCAGACAGCUCUUCUGUUCAUUGUUCAGCCACAUGGCAUUCAGCAUGUGCAACCACAACUGGUGAUUUAAAUGUUCAUUUGCCUUGUAAUGAGCAUGCCACUUACCUUCAGAGAGAUUCACUUUUUUUUUAUAAUUUUACUAGCUCUCAAGAUUUCUGAAAUGUAGGAAACUCACUUUAAAAUGUUUUUCAUUCCAUGCUCAAGACAGAAGAGCCUUUUAGCCUUGCGAUGAAGAUGCCAUUGCAUUAUUUGAAAUUGUUUUCUACUUUUAUGUGGUUAAUACUACUUUACAAGACAGUAUGGAAAAUUCAGAGGUCAUGUUGCUGCUAAGUCAGCACAUUAAGUGCAUGUUAAGAUGUGCAUUUAGCGCAUGGGGAAUAUGAGUUCUGCAUAACCAUCGUGCCAAAAGGAGACGGUAAAUCCUUCAGAGCAGGGAGAAGUUCUGGUUUAGAAAUAAAUACAGCAAAAGCUUUCUAUAUUACUAUGUGCUUCAUGCUUUACCAUAGUAAACAAUUUACUUUAUAAGCAAUAGGCAUAUGCUCAGAGAACUCCCCUUCCUCAGUCCGAGUUUCCAUCACUGCAGGCAAUGUACUCCACCUUCCUGCAUGUAGAAGGGGGGAAAAGAUGGUGAAAAGGGGGAGGUAUCUCUGCUCUUUUCCAAUUGCUUCUUGCAAAUGCAAUGCUAAACAUUGUCAGUGUGCAGGAGGACAGUUCUGGGAGUACAGCAACCCAUCAGAAAAUCCUGUUAGAAGUUUUCCACCAAAACUCAUCAAGUUUCCCAAGAAGCCUGUAGGAGGGUCUGGCAGGCAGGUAACAAAGAUGAUUCCUAGCAAAAAGGUUUAUAAUACCGGCAAAUGGGAGUUUUGAAGCUAAUCACCAACAUCUUGGUUUAUGACCUGACUAUGGACUUCAAAUGUAUGCAAAAAUAACAAAAACCUCCCUUUGCUGGCAGGAAUUCCUCAACUUCUUUAGAAAUGUCUCUGUUCUGCAUACUUAUCUACUGUAUCUUGGAUAAGACUUUUCUUAUCACCUUGCCUUACAUGGUGUGGAAGCAGGAGAGCUGCAUCCUUGGGAACACUUUUUCUGUCCUUCUGAGAUCAUUGCAGAAAUAUAAGUGCAUUUUUGUAUUAUGGCUGAAUUCUCCGUGUGAAAGUGAUUGGGCAUUUCACUAGCUUAACUAUUGUGGAAAAUCAAUAUAUGUGUAUGUUUUAUGCUGGCUAGCUUGAUAAGAUAUCUUCCAUUUUAUAAACCUGAUCUCCUUGGACCAUUGUUAAUUGUAUGUGGCAUGUUAAUUGUUUCAUAGUUCUGACUGAGCUUUCUGCUUUGGGUUGUGUAUGGGGUCUACCUGGGUAGCUGUAAUACAAUUUAAGCUGUUUG